rnacentral:rRNA from 1 species
GUGUCAGCCGCCGCGGUAAUACGUAGGCAGCAAGCGUUGUUCGGAGUUACUGGGCGUAAAGAGUGCGUAGGCGGUCUUUUAAGUUUGGUGUGAAAUCUCCCGGCUCAACUGGGAGGGUGCGCCGAAAACUGGAAGGCUUGAGGAUGGGAGAGGCAUGCGGAAUUCCUGGUGUAGCGGUGAAAUGCGUAGAUAUCAGGAGGAACACCUGCGGUGUAGACAGCAUGCUGGACCAUUUCUGACGCUGAGGCACGAAAGCGUGGGUAGCAAACAGGAUUAGAUACCCGUGUAGUCC